CACGUAGGGUGCAAGCGUUGUCCGGAUUUAUUGGGCGUAAAGGGCUCGUAGGCGGUUCGACAAGUCGGGUGUGAAACCUCCAGGCUCAACCUGGAGUCGCCACUCGAAACUGUUGUGACUAGAGUCCGGUAGGGGAGCAUGGAAUUCCUGGUGUAGCGGUGGAAUGCGCAGAUAUCAGGAGGAACACCAGUGGCGAAGGCGAUGCUCUGGGCCGGUACUGACGCUGAGGAGCGAAAGCAUGGGGAGCAAACAGG
rnacentral:rRNA from 1 species